UCGGGCGUGGUGUACGGAACACCGCGGGCCUUCAUAAAAGUUCGGGGACACCAUAUGACCUCGCAGUCCGGGGUUCGACUCCCCGCGCCCGAC